rnacentral:rRNA from 1 species
CAGCAGCCGCGGUAAUACAGGGGGGGCAAGCGUUGUUCGGAAUUACUGGGCGUAAAGGGUCUGUAGGUGGCUUGCUAAGUCAGACGUGAAAUCCCUCAGCUUAACUGGGGAACUGCGUCUGAUACUGGCAAGCUUGAGUGCAGGAGAGGAACGCGGAAUUCCAGGUGUAGCGGUGAAAUGCGUAGAUAUCUGGAGGAACACCGGUGGCGAAGGCGGCAUCCUGGACCGGUAUUGACGCUGAGGCGCGAAAGCUAGGGGAGCAAACGGGAUUAGAUACCCCGGUAGUCCUAGCCCUAAACGAUGAGUGCUUGGUGUGGCUGGUAUCGAUCCCUGCCGUGCCGAAGCUAACACAUUAAGCACCCCGCCUGGGGAGUACGGCCGCAAGGCUAAAACUCAAAGGAAUUGACGG